AUUCAAUUGAGUUUGCUCUCAUGGAAGAGGAAGAAGAUAUCGAGGAAGAAGAAGAUACUUUCCACCAGCUUCCUGAGUUGAUGAAAUCAUGAUGAUCUCCCAUGUUUUUUUUUUGUUAUCACUAUGUGUAUACUAUAUAUAUGUUGUUGGUGAGAUGGAUGAUGGAUCUUAAUUUGCUGUGUCUUCUCAGAUUGUGCUUCACAUGAAAUGAUGAGGAGCCACACGAGAGAGGUGGCUCUCGUUGACUCUUCUGCAGACGUCAUGCCCAACUACUACUGCUUCUUCUUCUUUGUCAAAGAAUACCAGUAUUUCAUUUCUCCUAUACAUUUCUAGUUUUCUU